rnacentral:tRNA from 1 species
GCGAAAGUAACUUAAUAGGUAAAGUAUAACCUUGCCAAGGUUAAUAUUGAGGGUUCGAACCCCUUUUUUCGCU